rnacentral:rRNA from 1 species
AUUGAACGCUGGCGGCAGGCCUAACACAUGCAAGUCGAGCGGAUGAAGGGAGCUUGCUCCUGGAUUCAGCGGCGGACGGGUGAGUAAUGCCUAGGAAUCUGCCUGGUAGUGGGGGAUAACGUCCGGACACGGGCGCUAAUACCGCAUACGUCCUGAGGGAGAAAGUGGGGGAUCUUCGGACCUCACGCUAUCAGAUGAGCCUAGGUCGGAUUAGCUAGUUGGUGGGGUAAAGGCCUACCAAGGCGACGAUCCGUAACUGGUCUGAGAGGAUGAUCAGUCACACUGGAACUGAGACACGGUCCAGACUCCUACGGGAGGCAGCAGUGGGGAAUAUUGGACAAUGGGCGAAAGCCUGAUCCAGCCAUGCCGCGUGUGUGAAGAAGGUCUUCGGAUGGUAAAGCACUUUAAGUUGGGAGGAAGGGCAGUAAGUUAAUACCUUGCUGUUUUGACGUUACCAACAGAAUAAGCACCGGCUAACUUCGUG